AGUGUCCAGGGAUGGGAAUCGAACCCACAGUUUUCCGCUUACCGGGCAGAUGCCAUGUCCACUAGAAUAUGUCCAC
rnacentral:tRNA from 1 species